rnacentral:rRNA from 1 species
UACGUAGGUGGCAAGCGUUGUCCGGAUUUAUUGGGCGUAAAGGGCGCGCAGGCGGUCCGUUAAGUCUGAGGUGAAAUCUCCUGGCUCAACUGGGAGGGGUCUUCAGAUACUGGCGGACUUGAGGAGUGCAGAGGUGAGUGGAAUUCUCGGUGUAGUGGUGAAAUGCGUAGAUAUCGAGAGGAACACCAGUGGCGAAGGCGGCUCACUGGGCACCACCUGACGCUGAGGCGCGAAAGCGUGGGGAGCGAACCGGAUUAGAAACCCGGGUAGUCC